rnacentral:rRNA from 1 species
AUACGGAAGGUCCGGGCGUUAUCCGGAUUUAUUGGGUUUAAAGGGUGCGUAGGCGGAUGAUUAAGCGUGAGGUGAAAUGCCACUGCUCAACAGUGGAACUGCCUCGCGAACUGGUUGUCUUGAAUGCUCCUGCCGUGGGAGGAAUGCGUGGUGUAGCGGUGAAAUGCUUAGAUAUCACGAAGAACCCCGAUUGCGAAGGCAGCUGUCUGGGGUGCCACUGACGCUGAGGCUCGAAAGUGCGGGUAUCAAACAGGAUUAGAUACCCUGGUAGUCGGCACAGUAAACGAUGGACACUCGUGGUCGGCGACACACUGCCGGUCACCAAGCGAAAGCGAUAAGUAAUCCACCUGGGGAGUACGCCGGCAACGGUGAAACUCAAAUGAAUUGGCGGGG